rnacentral:rRNA from 1 species
GAUGAACGCUGGCGGCGUGCCUAAUACAUGCAAGUCGAGCGAACAGACGAGGAGCUUGCUCCUCUGACGUUAGCGGCGGACGGGUGAGUAACACGUGGAUAACCUACCUAUAAGACUGGGAUAACUUCGGGAAACCGGAGCUAAUACCGGAUAAUAUAUUGAACCGCAUGGUUCAAUAGUGAAAGACGGUUUUGCUGUCACUUCUAGAUGGAUCCGCGCCGCAUUAGCUAGUUGGUAAGGUAACGGCUUACCAAGGCAACGAUGCGUAGCCGACCUGAGAGAGUGGUAGGCGACACUGGAGCUGAGCCACGGACCAGACUACUACGGGAGGGCGCAGUAGGGUAUGUGCCGCAAUGGGCGAAAGCCUGACGGAGCGGGGCGGCGUGAGAGAUGGAGGUGUCGGGAUCGUGAAGCUCGGUUUUGAGGGAAGAACAGAUGUGGAAGUAAAUAAGCCCGUAUUGACGGUAAUUGAUAAGAAAGCAACGGCUAACUACGUG